ensembl:snoRNA
GUGCCCUUUUAAGGUUGCUGCAGUACUUUAAGAGGCUAACACAGAAGGUAAAGCAAGUCUCCAUAAAAAACCCAAAGACAAGAUCGGUAGAACUCCUCUUUGGAUCCUAUCUGGAGUCACAAGU